GGGGUUGUGGCUCAGUGGGAAAGCGCUUGCCUGGCAUGUGAGGCACUGAGUUCGGUCCUCAGCACUGCA
rnacentral:tRNA from 1 species